UGCGAGCGUGACGGCGCGAGCAGGUGCGAAAGCAGGUCAUAGUGAUCCGGUGGUUCUGAAUGGAAGGGCCAUCGCUCAACGGAUAAAAGGUACUCCGGGGAUAACAGGCUGAUACCGCCCAAGAGUUCAUAUCGACGGCGGUGUUUGGCACCUCGAUGUCGGCUCAUCACAUCCUGGGGCUGAAGUAGGUCCCAAGGGUAUGGCUGUUCGCCAUUUAAAGUGGUACGCGAGCUGGGUUUAGAACGUCGUGAGACAGUUCGGUCCCUAUCUGCCGUGGGCGCUGGAGAACUGAGGGGGGCUGCUCCUAGUACGAGAGGACCGGAGUGGACGCAUCACUGGUGUUCGGGUUGUCAUGCCAAUGGCACUGCCCGGUAGCUAAAUGCGGAAGAGAUAAGUGCUGAAAGCAUCUAAGCACGAAACUUGCCCCGA
rnacentral:rRNA from 7 species